UACGUAGGGACCGAGCGUUGUCCGGAAUCAUUGGGCGUAAAGAGCGUGUAGGCGGCUAUUUAAGUCCUGCGUGAAAUCCUGCGGCUCAACCGCAGACGGUCGUGGGAAACUGGAUGGCUAGAGUGCGGGAGAGGAGACUGGAAUUCCUGGUGUAGCGGUGAAAUGCGCAGAUAUCAGGAGGAACACCGGUGGCGAAGGCGGGUCUCUGGGCCGAUACUGACGCUGAGGAGCGAAAGCGUGGGGAGCGAACAGG
rnacentral:rRNA from 1 species